GAAACAAUACUGUAGUGCACAAUUACAAAUUCACAACUACAAAAUAAGGAUCACAAUAACAUUAAAAUUACAAAUCAGUCACACUGGACAUUUAGAUAAACAUAAUAUGUAAUCGUGUUCGCAGUAGUAUCAUUGUUCCUAUCCAAGUGGAGUAACCCAUCUAAACCAAACCCAACUGUCUUCUGUUCUAUCUCAGCUACCUACAAAAGAAUAGCUAAAAAUGUGAGAACUAUCCACAUGACGAAUAAAUUAUGGGAAAGAUUCAUACAAACACUUAUUUAAAAUGACACUAAUUAGCUCACCCGCAAUAAAUGAAAAGUACAAGGAACAAUAUACAGCAAUAUUGCAUUUGUCAGUCAACAUGGACAUUUUAUCGUCAGGCAGAAAAGGAUUUGGCAUGCAGAAAGAACACAUAGGCACAUCUUAGUAUCACAAAGAAAUAAAUCAAAUAUAAAUAUUAAUAGUGAGAUGGUUGGUGGAAUAUCUAUCCUGGAAAAUUAGAGCAUCAUUCAGUUACUAUAUGUGGCUAGAACAAAUCUUUACUAAGAUCGUUGAAAUAAAUGUCCUAUUAAAAUAAAGAAAAAUGAAAUAUUAUUAAACAUGUAUACUUUGGAAAGAGAAAUAUAUACUUUGGUGCUCUAAGUUUAUUAGUUCUAUGGUAAUUGUUGAAUUACAGAACAAGGGCAGAAAUGUACACGGAUGAGUGCAAGAUUAGGAUCUGUUUGGUUUGUGCCGGAGUCAGCCUCGCCAAAGGAGGACACACCAAAUAAUUGGCGAGCGAUUUGGCCGCCGGAGCCUCGCCAAAUAGUUGGUGCAAAUAUAGACUAUAAGAGCUAUGGUGGGCAGGGCGAGCCAAAACAUCAGCGCUCAUCCUAACGAACUCGCCAGCCUGGUCAACUACCAAUAUUUUGGACAGGCGGCUGCGAGCAGCGAUCCAAACAGCCCUUUAAAGCUUUCACAUGCUUAGCUCCAUUCACAUGGAUAAUAGAAAAGGUUUGCAGAGAAAUGCACUUCUAAAGGGCAGGCAAUUUUUUUGAUAAUAUUGCAAAAUACAUGAAGAUAAGUAGCUGAAUAUAUACUUCUUGCAUAUAUAAGAGAAACUGAAUGCCAUGGUAACACGGGCUAAACCUCAGGACAUGCAAGAAUGUUAAUGCAUUGUAAACCUCAGGAGAUGCUAGGGUGUUAACCUCAACCCACAAUUGUAGUGGAUGAUUGUAGGAGUUUCAUCUAUUCAAUACUGAUUUGAAAGCUGAGAUCAAGUUACACAGAACAAAACUCUACGAAAAUAAGGCAAGAAAAGGAAAGAAAAUUGAGACUUAAUUAAGUACACUCAUAUUAAACUAAAUAAACAUACACUGCUAUAACCAAUUAUCAGUUACAUAAGUAGACGGUUGGCAUUAAAUAUGUAACAGAUAUUAUUCGUUGCAAUAUAUUAUAGUAAUUAAACAGUUGAUGUGCAUACUUGUGAAAGAGACAUGUGAAAACAUUCAGAUUUGUUGUAGUGCUCAAACCAUAAGGUCCAGUAUAGCAUUUAUCCAUUCAAUUCACAUUACCCAGUGGUGACAGCAUGAUCAAGUCUCACAACCCUAUGUGUACUUUAAUUUAGGUAGGAAAUCACACAGUGGCGAAGCCACGCUAUAGCUGGGUAGUCAAGCGACUACACAACAAUUUGACAUGCCAGAGACUACCACGUCUGCCUCCCCCAUCGGUAAAAAACAAGUUCUAUAAACUGACUACAACAUACCCAUUUGUUAUCUGCUUUGCCUAUGAUUUGGCUGGCCCAAUAUAGCAAAGGAAAUUACGCAGCCAUCCUAAUUAUAUAGCUUCCCUAAUAAGCCAAUCCUCAAAUCCUGUGAUUACUCUUACUACUACUACUUCUCUCCUUUUCACCUUCCCAUGUAAUCCCUAAAGGCCAACGGGGGCACAAUACCGGCAGGUUGGAGCACAUCAUGCAUGGAUGCGCAUGUUGCACACCAAGCAGCAUUGAUGCUGCCGGCCGCCAAUCGCCCGCUGUCCGGAAACACCUCCGUGAGCAUGGCCACGUCCUCAGCCAGUCUCCGACUGUCUACAGUACUGUAAUUCUGGUGAUCGGCGAGUGCACAAGGAGUCUAGCACAAGGUCCUUUUUCUUCUAUUUGUACGCUACAUCUUCUUCCUCUUCCAAUUUUUUCUCUUAUUAAGAAAUCAAGAUCUUGUUUUUCAUAGUAAAACGCUUGUUUUUGACUUCUUAGGUCUUGUAUUUGGUAAUGACACCAAUGAUAAAUGGAUAAAUUUGGCAAAAAGCUGCAACCAAAAAUAUGUGUGGUCUUUUCUGUUCCUGUUUAUUUUGUCUAUAAUUUUUUCAUUUAAAAACCUUGACAAAGUAAUGUUCGGAUCCUACCACCGCCACUGAAAUCACAUACGUCAGAGCAGACAUACAUUGCCAACAAGAACAACCAUCCAAAAAAGAAGAGCAGGAGCAGAGCUGGUUACCUAUGGUGGCUGGUGUUUGGUGGAGUUCGAGGUAGAUGCACGGCCGCCGUUCCUGCUGUGCUGCUCUAUGUUGGCUGCUUGCCACCGACAGCCAAAGGGACGCGCGCGUCCGUACAUCAGAGAGAGGGACGCGAGCAACCUUUCCUCUACAGGGAUCCACGACCACAGCAUUAGUCAGAGCCGGCAAAAGAACCUGGACGGGGGUCGCGGAGGAGUACGAGGCCACGACGUCGAGGAAGCCAGCAGGACAGGUGGGAGCCGCGCUGGUAACUAGUGG
rnacentral:lncRNA from 1 species